rnacentral:rRNA from 1 species
UAUAAGCAAAUCUAUACUGUGAAACUGCGAAUGGCUCAUUAAAUCAGUUAUCGUUUAUUUGAUAGUACCUUACUACUUGGAUAACCGUGGUAAUUCUAGAGCUAAUACAUGCUAAAAACCCCAACUACGGAAGGGGUGUAUUUAUUAGAUAAAAAACCAACGCCCUUUGGGGCUCCUUGGUGAUUCAUAAUAACUAAACGAAUCGCAUGGCCUUGUGCCGGCGAUGGUUCAUUCAAAUUUCUGCCCUAUCAACUUUCGAUGGUAGGAUAGUGGCCUACCAUGGUGUCAACGGGUAACGGGGAAUUAGGGUUCUAUUCCGGAGAGGGAGCCUGAGAAACGGCUACCACAUCCAAGGAAGGCAGCAGGCGCGCAAAUUACCCAAUCCCGACACGGGGAGGUAGUGACAAUAAAUACUGAUACAGGGCUCUUUUGGGUCUUGUAAUUGGAAUGAGUACAAUUUAAAUCCCUUAACGAGGAACAAUUGGAGGGCAAGUCUGGUGCCAGCAGCCGCGGUAAUUCCAGCUCCAAUAGCGUAUAUUAAAGUUGUUGCAGUUAAAAAGCUCGUAGUUGAACCUUGGGCCUGGCUGGCCGGUCCGCCUCACCGCGUGCACUGGUCCGGCUGGGCCUUUCCUUCUGGGGAGCCGCAUGCCCUUCACUGGGUGUGUCGGGGAACCAGGACUUUUACUUUGAAAAAAUUAGAGUGUUCAAAGCAGGCCUAUGCUCGAAUACAUUAGCAUGGAAUAAUAGAAUAGGACGUUGCGGUUCUAUUUUGUUGGUUUCUAGGACCGCCGUAAUGAUUAAUAGGGAUAGUCGGGGGCAUCAGUAUUCAAUUGUCAGAGGUGAAAUUCUUGGAUUUAUUGAAGACUAACUACUGCGAAAGCAUUUGCCAAGGAUGUUUUCAUUAAUCAGUGAACGAAAGUUAGGGGAUCGAAGACGAUCAGAUACCGUCGUAGUCUUAACCAUAAACUAUGCCGACUAGGGAUCGGGCGAUGUUAUUUUUUUGACUCGCUCGGCACCUUACGAGAAAUCAAAGUCUUUGGGUU